CGACCUCAGAUUAGGUGGGAUUCCCCGCUGAAUUUAAGCAUAUUAGUAAGCGGUGGAAAAGAAACCAACAGGGAUUCCCUUAGUAGCUGCGAGUGAACAGGGAUUAGCCCAGCACUGAAUCCCAAAAGCAUUGCUUUUAGGGAAAUGUAGUGUUUGGGAGGGCUCAAUUAACCCCAAGAUAUGUGCAUUUCGCCCAAGUCCAUCUUGAACGAGGCCACGGUCCCGAGAGGGUGCCAGGCCCGUUGUUGGCAAAUGUCUAUUUCGGGUGGGCCUCUCCUUAGAGUCGGGUUGCUUGAGAGUGCAGCCCUAAGUAGGUGGUAAACUCCAUCUAAGGCUAAAUACAACCACGAGACCGAUAGCGAACAAGUACCGUGAGGGAAAGUUGAAAAGAACUUUGA
rnacentral:ncRNA from 1 species